rnacentral:rRNA from 1 species
UACGAAGGGGGCUAGCGUUGUUCGGAUUUACUGGGCGUAAAGCGCACGUAGGCGGAUCGUUAAGUCGGGGGUGAAAUCCUGGAGCUCAACUCCAGAACUGCCUUUGAUACUGGCGAUCUCGAGUCCGGGAGAGGUGAGUGGAACUGCGAGUGUAGAGGUGAAAUUCGUAGAUAUUCGCAAGAACACCAGUGGCGAAGGCGGCUCACUGGCCCGGUACUGACGCUGAGGUGCGAAAGCGUGGGGAGCAAACAGG